rnacentral:lncRNA from 1 species
UUCCCUCAUCUUCCCUAACUGCUUGGUGAAGUCCUCUAUUUGUACUUGGAACUCAAUAAUGUAUCUGUUGUCCUCACCAAUGGUAACUAUAUUCUCAACCGAGCAUUCCUCAGCGAUACGCUGUUCUACCGAGCUUUCAAAGGACCGGUUCCGGACGUUGAUUUCUAUAAACACGCUAAAAUCCUGCCAUAGAAAAGCAAAAGCAAGGUUAAGAAAGCUAAAAGAUUAAAAAUAUCCUCAAGAGGGCAAAUAACUUAACAUGAGGAACAUCUCCCUCAAACUAUCCCUAAGGUCCUCCAUGGAGCGCGAGCUAAAGACUGUCUAUUGCUUAGUGGAAUAGGCUAGAUGACUGACGAGAGCCAGGAAGCAGGGAUCAGAAGCAUCUGGGAUCUCCGAACAUCCUCUCGCACAAUAUCUUAGCCACAAAGGCCAGCAUGGACUCAGCAGUCACCUAGGCGGCAUUCAGUAACUCAUUGUCCGAGGUAGAUGACAGGUGCUCCAUUGCCUUUUUCCCUUUAUCAAAAGGGGGAGAAGGGGCUGCCCCAACAAGUUCUGAGGUUCGAGCGCGCUUAGUAGUCGUGCCCUCGUCCGGGUACACUUGGCAGCUCGCCUCCAAUCAUGAUAACUCCCAUAGCCUGGAUAGGUGGAACGUCUAAAGGAGUAGUCGCAGUGCCCUCUUCCGAGCUACUCUCAGCCGACUUGAUAAGCGCAAUAGGAGUUUCCUCAAGAGCAAAAGGAGUCUUGGCAAGAGCCGGUGUUUUAGUGAAAAUCGACAUCCUAGAUGCUGCGGAGUGAGAGCCCCCUGUCAUAGGCACCAAAGCCAGGGAAGGCGUAAGGGCAAGGGCAAAGUGACGAACUGCAGAUGCAAGGUCUGCAACCUAGAAAACCUUCCGGGUCACAUCAGUUACAGAUAUGUUAGCCUUGCAAGCGGCCAAAGUCGCCUUCCUACUCUCCCGAGAUAAGGUGAAAUUCUUGGAAAGCUUGAUGGCGCCCAUUGAUACAGCAGAAGCUGAAAAGAAAACACCAAUCCAGUUAAAGCUCGAAACAAUGAAAGGAAAACAUUAAAAAAAAAAAAAAGAAAACCAGAAAAGAAUAUCAGCUUCCCGAUAGUCCCAUGGGUCAGACAUAAAUAUACACUUCUAGACGUCAUAUUUCUUCUUUACAGUGGUCAGUCAAAGAAGGCAAAUUUAGUCCACUAGACUUAACCUAGAGAGGACGUUACAGCCUUGAGGGACAUUUCCCCAAUAAAGGUCAAUAUCCCAAUUGAUCCUUGAACUCUCUUUUAGCUCAACAACUACAAAAUUCUCUACCCAACCUUUUAUCGAAUUCUUAUACCUAGCAAAUAUGGAUAGUCCGGUCCGGGGACCGAAGUAAUAGAAUCCGUGGAUAGACCUAAUGUGGUGAAAUAAGGUGUAGAAUAACUCAAUAGAAGGGGCAACACCCCAGCACAGACAAAUAGACUCGAAACAGCACAUGAACAAGAUAGAAUUGGGGGAUAGUAUCCAAGGAGACACUCUAAAAUGAUGGAAGACCUCAAUAAAGAAAGUGGUAAAAAGAAAGGUCAGCCCAAAAUCGCGCUGUUUGACGAAAAAGACUAAGUUACACUCUUGUUGCGCGUCUAUCAAACCCGCCGGUAGUGAGUAAGAGAGAACGAUUCGCUCGUUAGGUAAGGGAACCCUAAUUCUAUAGAUGGUAGUGUCAGAAUAGUCACUGAAAAAGUAGUGAGAAAAGGAGAAAGAGGUGAUAGAGGAUACUAGACCCACUAUAUCAGGAAUCCUAACAGAAGCCAUAAAAAGAGUAGGACGUACCUCGAUUAGAAAACAUGAAUUAUAGAGAAGAGAAAGGAGAAUAUAGCAAAAGCACCGCAAGAGGCAGAGCAGCAAGUGAAAGCAAGAACGUAAAUUUGAAGUAGGUAAAGGUGAAGAGAAGACGUUUUGACAAGAACUCUUCUAGAAUUAAUGAGCAGUAAUAAUUGAAAUUUCAGGAUUUACCCCUUCAACCCUAGACACCUCAACCCUGAUUGAGCCUGUACUGGAAAGGCCAAGUCUUAACUCUACUAAGACCCACUACAUAGGUAUGCUUCACAUACAAGGCCAAGCUUCACUUUGAUGAGCGGAGCCGGGCUUGAACCUAUGCAUGGAAGGCCUGGCCAUAUUUAUCCCUCUAGCCCCGUAAGACAAUAAAUCCCUUGACGUGCAAAAUCGUAUCCACAUAACACCGGAUGAAAUUAAAUGAUCGCCUAAUGAUGGAAAAGGACACAGUAGGUGCGUACAUAUGGCCAACGUGACUGUGAUAGGAGAAUAUAAAUACAAUACGGCGGUUACACGUCACUAAAAGAUAAAACGGGAAAAGGAAUAAAGGAAGCAAGGAAGAGACAAAACAUAUUAAAUUUAUCAAAAUACACCUUAAACCUACCAUUUACUAGAUCCCAGGACAUCAAUAUAUAUAAUUUAAACCCAACAAAUCAAGAAUUUAAAAAAUCAUUAUAUUUUGAACUUUGUUGUUAGGAAAGGGAGAGAAGAUUGAGCGAAAUCAACAAAGCAAAACAUAAGAUAUCCAUAUUCUGCAAAAACAAUAUAGGGCCUAAUACAACUCGAUCAUAUAUAAAAUGACAACUUGCAUCAGUCCUCGGAUUUGUUAUUAGAUCUACGAAUAAAAUCUAGCAAGCUCUAAGAAUUACACCAAAAGAAAAAAAAACUGAGAUAUAUAUCUAAAGGGCAGAAGCAACUCUAUCGAUAACUCAUAUGUAUAUAUAGAGAGAGAGAGAUGGAGUAUACACAUCUCCUCAUCAGAAGAUGAUGAUUUGUAUGCAUUAUUUUCUUGAAAACAAAGCUACUUGUUGUGUAGGGGGUCAGGGCAAGAGGGUACUGCUCUGUUCACUGUUGCAGCAAAGCCAUUGCCUCCAGUGUUGUUGUUGUUGUUAUUAUUAGAAGCUUGUUGUUGAAUCUGGGUUACCAUCUCCUUCAGAGACCUGUUGGCUUCCACCACUUCUCCAUUCUGAAAAGCUGAUAAGAUCAGCAGUAUCAGCAAGACACCACCCACUUUGCCAUUUGAAAGAAACAUGCCUUCUUCUUCUUCUUCUUCUUCUCCUUGCUUGAGAUUUUAGAGAGAGGGAGAGAGGGGGGGCUGAAGUAGUUGUUAAUUAAGCAGGUUGGUGGAAUUUAAAGGGCCUUAAUGCAAGAAUAGUGGAGUGGGGUUUUUGUGUAUUCAAAUGUGAAAGUCUUUCGUACCAUUUUAUAACUCUUUGCUAUCUAUGUGUUUCUGGGA